CCCUUAGAUGUUCUGGGCUGCACGCGCGCUACACUGAAGCGUUCAACGAGUAUUUCACCUUGCCCGGGAGGGUUGGGUAAUCUUUUUAAAACGCUUCGUGAUGGGGAUAGAUUAUUGCAAUUAUUAAUCUUCAACGAGGAAUUCCUAGUAAGCGCGAGUCAUCAGCUCGUGCUGAUUACGUCCCUGCCCUUUGUACACACCGCCCGUCGCUGCAACUGAUUGGGUGACCUGGUGAACAUCUUGGACCGGUCCACUCAAUUUCGAGAGGACUGGAAAAGGCCGUAAAUCAGGUACAUCUAGAAAUUGCAAAAGUCGUAACA
rnacentral:rRNA from 1 species